UUUUCUUUUUCAAUAUAAAACACAAGAGAAUAGACACAAGAGAUUUCCUAUUCUACAGUUAUUUCGAGUAUUGUCGUAAGUCUUGGUCUUUUGUAUCUCCUAAGAAGUAAAGAAGAGCAAACGACACUUACGGACGAUAAAGCCAUGCAUGCACCAGCUGCCCAUGGAGGCAAUUUAACCCCCAAAGAAGGAAAGAAAACUCCAGCAGCGAUAGGAAUAGCUAUUACAUUGUAGGCCAUUGCAAACACGUAAUUUAAUCGAAUCCGAUUGAAAGUCUUCCUUGAGAGAUCAAUGGCUGUAAUUACAUCUUCUAAAUUAUUUCUCAUCAGGACAAAGUCGGCUGCCUCAAUGGCAAUAUCAG
rnacentral:misc_RNA from 1 species